GAUGAACGCUGGCGGCGUGCCUAAUACAUGCAAGUCGAGCGAACGGACGAGAAGCUUGCUUCUCUGAUGUUAGCGGCGGACGGGUGAGUAACACGUGGAUAACCUACCUAUAAGACUGGGAUAACUUCGGGAAACCGGAGCUAAUACCGGAUAAUAUUUUGAACCGCAUGGUUCAAAAGUGAAAGACGGUCUUGCUGUCACUUAUAGAUGGAUCCGCGCUGCAUUAGCUAGUUGGUAAGGUAACGGCUUACCAAGGCAACGAUGCAUAGCCGACCUGAGAGGGUGAUCGGCCACACUGGAACUGAGACACGGUCCAGACUCCUACGGGAGGCAGCAGUAGGGAAUCUUCCGCAAUGGGCGAAAGCCUGACGGAGCAACGCCGCGUGAGUGAUGAAGGUCUUCGGAUCGUAAAACUCUGUUAUUAGGGAAGAACAUAUGUGUAAGUAACUGUGCACAUCUUGACGGUACCUAAUCAGAAAGCCACGGCUAACUACGUGCCAGCAGCCGCGGUAAUACGUAGGUGGCAAGCGUUAUCCGGAAAUUAUUGGGCGUAAAGCGCGCGUAGCGGUUUUUUAAGUCUGAUGUGAAAGCCCACGGCUCAACCGUGGAGGGUCAUUGGAAACUGGAAAACUUGAGUGCAGAAGAGGAAAGUGGAAUUCCAUGUGUAGCGGUGAAAUGCGCAGAGAUAUGGAGGAACACCAGUGGCGAAGGCGACUUUCUGGUCUGUAACUGACGCUGAUGUGCGAAAGCGUGGGGAUCAAACAGGAUUAGAUACCCUGGUAGUCCACGCCGUAAACGAUGAGUGCUAAGUGUUAGGGGGUUUCCGCCCCUUAGUGCUGCAGCUAACGCAUUAAGCACUCCGCCUGGGGAGUACGACCGCAAGGUUGAAACUCAAAGGAAUUGACGGGGACCCGCACAAGCGGUGGAGCAUGUGGUUUAAUUCGAAGCAACGCGAAGAACCUUACCAAAUCUUGACAUCCUUUGACAACUCUAGAGAUAGAGCCUUCCCCUUCGGGGGACAAAGUGACAGGUGGUGCAUGGUUGUCGUCAGCUCGUGUCGUGAGAUGUUGGGUUAAGUCCCGCAACGAGCGCAACCCUUAAGCUUAGUUGCCAUCAUUAAGUUGGGCACUCUAAGUUGACUGCCGGUGACAAACCGGAGGAAGGUGGGGAUGACGUCAAAUCAUCAUGCCCCUUAUGAUUUGGGCUACACACGUGCUACAAUGGACAAUACAAAGGGCAGCGAAACCGCGAGGUCAAGCAAAUCCCAUAAAGUUGUUCUCAGUUCGGAUUGUAGUCUGCAACUCGACUACAUGAAGCUGGAAUCGCUAGUAAUCGUAGAUCAGCAUGCUACGGUGAAUACGUUCCCGGGUCU
rnacentral:rRNA from 1 species